UACGGGGGGGGUAAGCGUUGUCCGGAAUUACUGGGCGUAAAGGGCUCGUAGGCGGCCAACUAAGUCAGACGUGAAAUCCCUCAGCUUAACUGGGGAACUGCGUCUGAUACUGGAUGGCUUGGAUUCGGGAGAGGAAUGCGGAAUUCCAGGUGUAGCGGUGAAAUGCGUAGAUAUCUGGAGGAACACCGGUGGCGAAGGCGGCAUUCUGGACCGAUAUUGACGCUGAGGAGCGAAAGCCAGGGGAGCAAACGGG
rnacentral:rRNA from 1 species